AGCUCCAAUAGCGUAUAUUAAAGUUGUUGUGGUUAAAAAGCUCGUAGUUGGAUCUCGGCAGGCUUGGGGCGGUUUGCUUGCUAGUAUUACUGCCCUAUAGUCUGUAGUUUUGCCAGAGGUUUUAGGGUGCUCUUAAUCGAGUGUCCUGGGAUGCUGGCAGGUUUACUUUGAAAAAAUUAGAGUGCUCAAAGCAGGCUUUUACGCCUGAAUAUUCGUGCAUGGAAUAAUAGAAUAGGAUGUUGAUCUUAUUUUGUUGGUUUUCGAGACUUGACAUAAUGAUUAAUAGGGACAGUCGGGGGCAUUUGUAUUCAAACGACAGAGGUGAAAUUCUUGGACCGUUUGAAGACAAACUACUGCGAAAGCAUUUGCCAAGAAUGUUU
rnacentral:rRNA from 1 species